GACGAACGCUGGCGGCGUGCCUAAUACAUGCAAGUAGAACGCACAGUUUAUACCGUAGCUUGCUACACCAUAGACUGUGAGUUGCGAACGGGUGAGUAACGCGUAGGUAACCUGCCUGGUAGCGGGGGAUAACUAUUGGAAACGAUAGCUAAUACCGCAUAAUAUUUAUUAUUGCAUGAUAAUUAAUUGAAAGGUGCAAUUGCACCACUACCAGAUGGACCUGCGUUGUAUUAGCUAGUAGGUGAGGUAACGGCUCACCUAGGCGACGAUACAUAGCCGACCUGAGAGGGUGAUCGGCCACACUGGGACUGAGACACGGCCCAGACUCCUACGGGAGGCAGCAGUAGGGAAUCUUCGGCAAUGGACGAAAGUCUGACCGAGCAACGCCGCGUGAGUGAAGAAGGGUUUCGGAUCGUAAAGCUCUGUUGUAAGAGAAGAACGGGUGUGAGAGUGGAAAGUUCACACUGUGACGGUAUCUUACCAGAAAGGGACGGCUAACUACGUG
rnacentral:rRNA from 1 species